AGGNCAGCCUACACAUGCAAGUCGAACGGUAACAGGAAGCAGCUUGCUGCUUCGCUGACGAGUGGCGGACGGGUGAGUAAUGUCUGGGAAACUGCCUGAUGGAGGGGGAUAACUACUGGAAACGGUGGCUAAUACCGCAUAACGUCGCAAGACCAAAGAGGGGGACCUUCGGGCCUCUUGCCAUCAGAUGUGCCCAGAUGGGAUUAGCUUGUUGGUGAGGUAACGGCUCACCAAGGCGACGAUCCCUAGCUGGUCUGAGAGGAUGACCAGCCACACUGGAACUGAGACACGGUCCAGACUCCUACGGGAGGCAGCAGUGGGGAAUAUUGCACAAUGGGCGCAAGCCUGAUGCAGCCAUGCCGCGUGUAUGAAGAAGGCCUUCGGGUUGUAAAGUACUUUCAGCGGGGAGGAAGGUGUUGUGGUUAAUAACCGCAGCAAUUGACGUUACCCGCAGAAGAAGCACCGGCUAACUCCGUGCCAGCAGCCGCGGUAAUACGGAGGGUGCAAGCGUUAAUCGGAAUUACUGGGCGUAAAGCGCACGCAGGCGGUCUGUCAAGUCGGAUGUGAAAUCCCCGGGCUCAACCUGGGAACUGCAUUCGAAACUGGCAGGCUUGAGUCUUGUAGAGGGGGGUAGAAUUCCAGGUGUAGCGGUGAAAUGCGUAGAGAUCUGGAGGAAUACCGGUGGCGAAGGCGGCCCCCUGGACAAAGACUGACGCUCAGGUGCGAAAGCGUGGGGAGCAAACAGGAUUAGAUACCCUGGUAGUCCACGCCGUAAACGAUGUCUACUUGGAGGUUGUGCCCUUGAGGCGUGGCUUCCGGAGCUAACGCGUUAAGUAGACCGCCUGGGGAGUACGGCCGCAAGGUUAAAACUCAAAUGAAUUGACGGGGGCCCGCACAAGCGGUGGAGCAUGUGGUUUAAUUCGAUGCAACGCGAAGAACCUUACCUGGUCUUGACAUCCACAGAAGAAUCCAGAGAUGGAUUUGUGCCUUCGGGAACUGUGAGACAGGUGCUGCAUGGCUGUCGUCAGCUCGUGUUGUGAAAUGUUGGGUUAAGUCCCGCAACGAGCGCAACCCUUAUCUUUGUUGCCAGCGGUUAGGCGGGAACUCAAAGGAAACUGCCAGUGAUAACUGGAGGAAGUGGGGAUGACGUCAGUCUNCUGGCCUUNNANCCGGGCUACCCCNUCUACAUGGCCAUCAAAAAAAGCAACUCCCA
rnacentral:rRNA from 1 species